UACAGAGGGUGCGAGCGUUAAUCGGAUUUACUGGGCGUAAAGGGCGCGUAGGUGGUUAAUUAAGUGAGAUGUGAAAGCCCCGGGCUUAACCUGGGAAGUGCAUCUUAAACUGAUUGACUGGAGUACGAGAGAGGGUGGUGGAAUUUCCGGUGUAGCGGUGAAAUGCGUAGAGAUCGGAAAGAACGUCAAUGGCGAAGGCAGCCACCUGGCUCGAUACUGACACUGAGGCGCGAAAGCGUGGGGAGCGAACAGG
rnacentral:rRNA from 1 species